rnacentral:rRNA from 1 species
UACGAGGGGGGCAAGUGUUGUUCGGAAUCACUGGGCGUAAAGGGAGCGUAGGCGGGUUCUUAAGUUAGGUGUUUAAUCCCGGGGCCCAACCCCGGACCGGCACUUAAAACUGGGAAUCUUGAAUAGUGGAGAGGUCAGUGGAAUUGGGGGUGUAGCGGUGGAAUGCGUAGAGAUCCCCAAGAACACCAGUUGCGAAGGCGGCUGACUGGACACAUAUUGACGCUGAGGCUCGAAAGCAUGGGGAGCAAACAGG